rnacentral:rRNA from 1 species
GAUGAACGCUGGCGGCGUGCUUAACACAUGCAAGUCGAACGAGAAAUGUAGACGGAAACCUUCGGGCGGAAGCCUUCAUUUCGAGUGGCGGACGGGUGAGUAACGCGUGGGUAACCUGCCUCAUACAGGGGGAUAACAGUUGGAAACGACUGUUAAUACCGCAUAAGACCACAGCAUCGCAUGAUGCGGGGGUAAAAACUCCGGUGGUAUGAGAUGGACCCGCGUUCGAUUAGCCGGUUGGCGGGGUAACGGCCCACCAAAGCGACGAUCGAUAGCCGAUCUGAGAGGAUGACCGGCCACAUUGGGACUGAGACACGGCCCAAACUCCUACGGGAGGCAGCAGUGGGGAAUAUUGCACAAUGGGGGAAACCCUGAUGCAGCGACGCCGCGUGAGUGAAGAAGUACUUCGGUAUGUAAAGCUCUAUCAGCAGGGAAGAAAAUGACGGUACCUGAGUAAGAAGCCCCGGCUAACUACGUG